rnacentral:rRNA from 1 species
GGACUACCGGGGUAUCUAAUCCUGUUUGCUCCCCACGCUUUCGCGUCUCAGCGUCAGUCACCGUCCAGAGGGCCGCCUUCGCCACCGGUGUUCCUCCUGAUAUCUACGCAUUUCACCGCUACACCAGGAAUUCCACCCUCCUCUCCGGGACUCGAGUUCGCCAGUUUCCAAUGCCCUUCCGGGGGUGAGCCCCGGGCUUUCACAUCAGACUUAGCGGACCGCCUACACGCGCUUUACGCCCAGUGAUUCCGAACAACGCUUGCACCCUCCGUAUUACCGCGGCGGCUGGCAC